rnacentral:lncRNA from 1 species
AAAUUCCUAAAAGUUUUGCCAAAUACAGCUAAGGUAAUCUAUGCCUGAGGUAGAAAAGCCUUAGUUUUUCAAAAAAUACUGUUUAAAGAAAAAUAUGGGUUUCUGCAAGAGAAGUCAUGGUUUGAUAAAAAAUAUUUAUUUCUGCAUGAAUAAAAAAAUAUUAAGAGGGGAAAAUGACACUCAACUUAAAUUUUGGCAUUUUAAAUAAUGAUUUCUCAUUCAUGCAUU